GAAACUUCAUGCGCCAGAAUUGAUGACCAGACACAUGCUCAUCCAACUGGGGCCCAAGGGGCAGGAAGAAUAAUGAGUUGUAGCAAACAGGAGGAAGCAUAAGCAAGUUAGAACCUGACCCUUUUAUAAAAAAAGUUAAAACAUGACACGGUCGAUGUCAACUGUCAUCAUCUGAUAAAAAAGUCAAUUUAGUUGACCUGUAAGCAUAAGCAAGUUAGAACCUGACCCUUUUAUAAAAAAAGUUAGAACAUGACACAUGCUCACCUUAAGCUCGCUGUUGCUUUUUCUCAAUAGCUUUCUUCCAUCGCUUUUUAUCAAGCGCCAAUGUCAUGUCUUGCCAACUGAGAUAAAUGGUAUCAUAUGUCAAUC
rnacentral:lncRNA from 1 species